GCGGCCGUCGCUCAACUGGAAAAAGCCGCGAACUUCAAAUCCGUAGGUCGCGGGUCCGAAUCGUGCCGGGCGUG
rnacentral:tRNA from 1 species